AGUGAUCAUGUUGCAUUCCCUCCACGCUUGGCUAUGUGUUUUGGGCUCAAAAAUCACAAUACCAUGGACUUUUCAUCCCCACACCCCUGGCUUGCUUUGCACACUCUCUCCUUAUGAACUAUGCAACAACACAAAAAUAUUUGAGAUUUUACUAUCAGACCCAAUGCCACACUUGGUUGAACACUCCCUGAUUCUGUUUCACACACCCCUGCAGAAUUGUGCUAAUUUCUCUUGUUUUUUUUAAUUUUCUUUUCUUUAAUUCUUU
rnacentral:lncRNA from 1 species